rnacentral:rRNA from 1 species
GAUGAACGCUGGCGGCGUGCCUAAUACAUGCAAGUCGAGCGAACAGACGAGGAGCUUGCUCCUCUGACGUUAGCGGCGGACGGGUGAGUAACACGUGGAUAACCUACCUAUAAGACUGGGAUAACUUCGGGAAACCGGAGCUAAUACCGGAUAAUAUAUUGCACCGCAUGGUUCAAUAGUGAAAGACGGUUUUGCUGUCUCUUAUAGAUGGAUCCGCGCCGCAUUAGCUAGUUGGUAAGGUAACGGCUUACCAAGGCUACGAUGCGUAGCCGACGUGCGAGGGUGGUCGGCCACACUGGAACUGAGACACGGUCCAGACUCCUGCGGGAGGCAGCAGUAGGGAAUCUUCCGCAAUGGGCGAAAGCCUGACGGAGCAACGCCGCGUGAGUGAUGAAGGUCUUCGGAUCGUAAAACUCUGUUAUUAGGGAAGAACAAAUGUGUAAGUAACUAUGCACGUCUUGACGGUACCUAAUCAGAAAGCCACGGCUAACUACGUG